UCGCGCUAGACGGGGAGUUAGCGGUGCCCUGCACCCGCAAUCCGCUACAGCGGGGUCGAAUUCCCCUCCUAGGGGGGGCGUCAUCGGGUCAGCUCCGACCACUCGGGUGUCGACGGCCGGGUCCGGCGCAGCCAAUCACCGCCAACCCCGUCAGGUCCGGAAGGAAGCAGCGGUACGCGGAGCGACUGGAGUGCCGUCGGGCUCCCCGGCCUGAGCUCAGGUGUCGACCGGCGCCGGGGGUGUCUCAACGAAGAGGGGUGCGCGA
rnacentral:SRP_RNA from 1 species